GCAGCCUGCAACUCGGCUGCAUGAAGCUGGAAUCGCUAGUAAUCGCGGAUCAGAAUGCCGCGGUGAAUGCGUUCCCGGGUCUUGUACACACCGCCCGUCAAGCCAUGGGAGCCGGGGGCGCCUGAAGUCCGGGACCGCGAGGACCGGCCUAGGGCGAAACUGGUAACUGGGGCUAAGUCGUAACAAGGUAAC
rnacentral:rRNA from 1 species